rnacentral:rRNA from 1 species
GACGAACCGUGCAAACGUUGUUCGGAAUCACUGGGCUUAAAGGGCGCGUAGGCGGCUUGCCAAGUCAGGGGUGAAAUCUUUCGGCUUAACCGGAAAAGUGCCUCUGAUACUGGCGAGCUAGAGGGAGGUAGGGCAUGUGGAACUUCCGGUGGAGCGGUGAAAUGCGUUGAUAUCGGAAGGAACGCCGGUGGCGAAAGCGACGUGCUGGAUCUCUUCUGACGCUGAGGCGCGAAAGCUAGGGGAGCGAACGGG